UAGUAACUAUCGAAAUGUCGGAACUCAGGACUCCAGUUACCCGAGGAACAGAAGGUUCGCGACUCUCGGAGUACGUGAGAGAAAGCAUCGGAAUCCAGGUAGGGAUUCAGGACUCUCCUCGGUUAGUUGUUUCUUUAUAUCUUGUGUUAAAAUAUGCAUGAUGGGUGGUACGGUUUGGUUAUGUUAAAAUGCAAUGCACACUAACCAAAUUGUGAGAGAUGUGAUGGCUUGAGAGCGAAAGGGGCACUGACUUCCUUGGGUUCGAUCCCCUAAACCUCCGGAGGGUUAGCUAUGCCGGUCGUCCGAGUAUCUGCAAUCACGGACUCGGUACGUGUGUGUAUAGCUAGGUAGUGGACGUUCUCGCUACGCUUACCUGGUGAUGAAUAAAUUUGAGGUAAGGUCGUGUAGUGGGUCUAUGGGACCGGCCAUCAGGUAACACUUGGAUUUGGCGCCGUAUUUAUUUAAGC
rnacentral:lncRNA from 1 species